rnacentral:rRNA from 1 species
UUUAAUGUAUUUUAUUUACCUGAUUAGUAUUAGUUAUGUUCUUUAAAAUUAAAGGAUUUGGCGGUAUUUUAGUCUAUUCAGAGGAACCUGUUCUAUAAUUGAUAUUCCACAAUAAUUUUUACUUUGGUUAUAUAAGCUUGUAUAUCGUCGUUAUAAGAAAAUUUUAUAAGAAUUUAAAAUUUUUAAUAUUUUUUAUUAAAAAACAUAUCAGAUCAAGGUGCAGUUUAUACUUAAGAAGAAAUGGGUUACAUUAAAUUUAUUUAAACGGAUUUAUUUUUUAUAAAUAUAAUGAAGGUGGAUUUGAUAGUAAAUAAUUAAAUUUAUUUUUGUUGAUUUUAGCUCUAAAAUAUGU